AGUGAACGCUGGCGGUAGGCCUAACACAUGCAAGUCGAACGGCAGCACAGUAAGAGCUUGCUCUUACGGGUGGCGAGUGGCGGACGGGUGAGGAAUACAUCGGAAUCUACUUUUUCGUGGGGGAUAACGUAGGGAAACUUACGCUAAUACCGCAUACGACCUACGGGUGAAAGCAGGGGAUCUUCGGGCCUUGCGCGAUUGAAUGAGCCGAUGUCGGAUUUGCUAGUUGGCGGGGUAAAGGCCCACCAAGCCGGCGAUCCGUAGCUGGUCUGAGCGGAUGAUCAGCCACACUGGAACUGAGACACGGUCAAGACGCCUACGGGAGGCAGCAGUGGGGAAUAUUGGACAAUGGGGGCAAGCCUGAUCCAGCCAUACCGCGUGGGUGAAGAAGGCCUUCGGGUUGUAAAGCCCUUUUGUUGGGAAAGAAAAGCAGCAGGUUAAUACCCCGCUGUUCUGACGGUACCCAAAGAAUAAGCACCGGCUAACUUCGUG
rnacentral:rRNA from 1 species